GCCUGGGUGGCUCAGUCAGUUAAGCGUCUGACUUCAGCUCAGGUCAUGAUCUCACAGUCUGUGAGUUCGAGCCCCGCUUCGGGCU
rnacentral:tRNA from 1 species